GUGGGGAAUAUUGCGCAAUGGGGGGAACCCUGACGCAGCAACGCCGCGUGAAGGAAGACGGUUUUCGGAUUGUAAACUUCAGCAAGCAGGGAAGAAAGAAAUGACGGUACCUGAACAAAAGCCACGGCUAACUACGUGCCAGCAGCCGCGGUAAUACGUAGGUGGCAAGCGUUGUCCGGAUUUACUGGGUGUAAAGGGCGCGUAGGCGGGCGAGUAAGUCAGACGUGAAAUACCGGGGCUCAACCCCGGGGCUGCGUUUGAAACUGCUUGUCUUGAGUGCCGGAGAGGAAAGCGGAAUUCCUAGUGUAGCGGUGAAAUGCGUAGAUAUUAGGAGGAACACCAGUGGCGAAGGCGGCUUUCUGGACGGUAACUGACGCUGAGGCGCGAAAGCGUGGGGAGCAAACAGGA
rnacentral:rRNA from 1 species